AUAAUCUCCACCCCCUGCCGAGGCUUCAACAUUAUAUCUAUCCCUCCUUGCUCUAGCGGGCAGCAAGAAGCACAGCACCGCCAGUUACCACGCAGACAUCCUGGGGAACUGAGGACAUUUCUUGAAGAGAUGUGAACAAAGGCCUGCUCGUCCAGAUAGUGUCCCGAGGACAAACCAAAGAAGUCAUCCCACCUAAGUCCAGCUUGGAGCCAGUGACUUUAUAGAAGGGUGACCUACAGGACCAUGGGUGACUCGGGACAGCUGUAUCAUCAAGCCACUCCACCAUGAAAGCUGCAUCCCUGGAUCUCACUGUGCAGCAUGCAGGUAACCCCUCUGGGCCUGCAACAAGGAGAUUCCCUGAUGGACCUUCGAGCCAGUCCUCUCCAGCUCUUCCCUUGAAGAGAAAUGAUCAGAGAGGCCACCACCUACCAGAGGUAGUGGAAAAGAAAGGACAUGGGGGAAGUGGACCUGUUUAGAAGUGGUUCUUUGAAGCAGCUCUCAUCUGUGUUAUCAGGAAAUCGGCAGUUUGGUUUACAGGUCAGCAACAGCAGCUUGAUCCACUUGCAAACACUUCACAGAUACACCAGCAGUCCAGUUCGGGAGAGUCCGAAGAGCAAACAUGAAUCAGCAGUAGUGCCAUCACCUAACAGGGACAUCCAGGCCUCAGCCAGAUCAGCACAAGUCAGCAGGAGGGACCAGAACCAACAGGGACACCAGGAGUUCUUUGCUGUGCCUCUCUCAGUGAAGCAAAGAUCAUCAAAGAUGAGAGACCAAGAAGUAUUGCAGAGCUAGCUCUACAAGCAAGCCCCUCUCAGUCCUAUUUACACUCCCUCCAAAAAUCACGUGCUCUCCACAGCUCUUGCCUCAGCAUGUGAGUCUGUCUUAGCAAAACUCCACGAGUCUAUAUCAGCUGACAUCACUCUGCCAGUUGACCCAAGUCCUCAGAAGCUGCAAGAAGCCGCAGCAUACUACCAGAAGGUUUUUUUGGUGUAUUUCGAUUUCUGGAGUCCUGACAAAUGGCGCUCAACUACACAAUUUAAGGCAGACCAAUACUUGUGUGUUGUUAAUGAAGAAUCCGUCACCAUGUGUCCUUUCACGUGCUUGCUUUAGCAGAAAAUCCUUUCACGCGUGUCUGCUUCAGUGAAACAUUCCUUCACAAGUCUGCCUUAGCAAAACAUCCUUUCACCUGUGUCCACUUCAGGGAAAAACUCCUUCAUGUGUUUGUCCCAGCAAAACACCAUCCAACACAACUGACUUUCCAAAGAACCCUUCAACCUAAAAAAAAAAGAAGAAGACUCGGAAACCACCUUAGAAAUGCAUCUCACAAAAUACCUGCCAGGCCAUUAGAAAACUACAGAAAGAUUUUAAACACAUGUCUGAAAAUACCCUAAAUAUCCUAAAGACACACUUCUUUCCCCAGAAGUAAUCUAUAUAUGUAAUAUGAUUCCAAAUAAAAUUUCAACAGGGUCUUAAAAAAAUAGACAAUAAACUGUUUAGAACCAUGGGCUGUAUCUUUUCAUCAAGAUCUGCAGUGAGGAGCCAUGAAGGAGGCCUUCACCUACAGAGUCUUAGCCUAAUCUCCCGUAGAAGGCCCCUCUACGCCACAACAGCCACCAAGCCUGCCUCCACCUAGAUAAAGACAAUCACCACAUGAGACAAGCCUUGUGCCCCAGCCCCAGGCUAGAUGGUAUACCAGCCCACGGAUCCCACACUCUGUUCUCUGCUCUUUGGUGACUCCCAGUGGUGCCUGGAUAUCCAAGAGUCUGAGAAGAACCCCACAGCCCCAGCCUUGUCACAGGCCCAGGGACCCCAAGCCAGCUCCAAUUUCCCAUGUCUCAGACUGCACCUUCCCACCCCCAGAUCUGUGUCUUGCCACUUUCCUACAGCUCAGCACCCACCUCAGCAGUGGCGGCAUGGGGUAAGCACAGUCAAACUCCCAGCAUUCCACCCAGUGUCAGAGUAGACACAGGCAAACAACCCUACAAGACAUCUCAGAAGUUCUGCUCUCAGACAUGGUGUCUGGGGAUGCUUGCCAUAGAAUACAAGCUAAGGACUUUCCCAAGGAGGACCUUCCCAAGUCUGCCCACCUCAUAGUCUUUUUGGUCUCACGAGCUGUGAUGACCUACUUUGUCUGGGAAAUUAACAGAUCAGGACCCAAGUGGACAAGAAAGUUGUGGAGGCUGAGGGCACCAUGGAAGCACCUCUGUGGUAGUUGCAGGCAUGUGUGCUGUGCAGCACUCUUCAACCUAAGAGCACCAAAACUUUCUCUGCCGAGUGUAUCAGCAACAAAUGCAAAGGCCACUUCCAUAAGAUCUGGUCACCCACAGUAUCACUCAUACUAAGGUGCCAGGGAUUGAACUUGGAUCACCAGGCUUGGAGGCAAGCACCUUUGACAUACUAAGCCACUGCCGUCCAUAAGAACAUUACACAAAGACCUGGAAUCUUCAAAGCCAAGCUGUGUAUGAUACACAGAAGUGGGAAAGAGGCAAAUCAUUUAUUUGUUACUAGGUACUUUUUCUUGUGGGAAGAAAGUUUUUUGUUAAUUCACUCAACAUUUAUUGAGAGAUGCAAGCCAUCAAAGAAAUGGCCCCUCCAGAAACUAGACACUACAGACCAAGGGUGAACGCCUAGCCUGGAUCACCGCAGCUCAGGAAGAGGCUGCAGAAACAGAAAGUGCCCUAGAUCCUUGAAGACUUUACAAUUGUUUAAAAUCACUUAAACUCUCUGGUAAAAGAUAUAGAUACUGACUAAUUAUUACAUAAUUUAUUUUUAUUCAUAACUCUGUAUACUGUUAAUUCUUAAAGUAAUUUCAUUCUUCCUAAUCCAUUAUUAAAAUAUUUUUUUCAUGCCCAUUACUGCUCCAGGUUCCUGACUUGAGGUCCUGUCCAGGCCUCUCUCCAUGAUGGACCAUGAUGGGGAUUCGUAAGCAGAAAUAAACCCUCCCCACUGCUGCUUUUGGUCAGUAUUUGUAUCACAGCGAGAGAAAGCAAACUCGGACAGGUAUUCAUCAGCUGUACAAAGAGAAAAGGCAUAAACUGCUGGAAGCUGUGUCCUUGGGUCAUGGGCACUACUUCCCACAACACCCACUGGCUUUGCAUGGAGACUCUGGACCUUCAGAGCGACACCCAGUUUUGCCACAUGGAUACAGGACUUGUGAUAAACUAGGUAGUAGGCCUGGAUCUGUUGCUUUCCCCCUUGCUGUGAUGAGGAAAUCCCUGAGAAAGAUAACUUAAGGAAGGAGGGGUUUGCUCUAGCAGCUGGAGUGAGGGGUGGCAGGCCACAUGACGUGGCAUCCACUAUCAGGAUGCAGAGAGAGAUGAAUGUGUAUAUUCACCUUCCCUUUCCACGAGGUCUAAAACCCUAGGGUGAGUCUUCCUGCCUCGGUUUACCGAGUUUAGAAACUCCUAUGUCUCCAUGGUGAUUCUAGACCCCGUCAAGCUGACAGUAUUAACCACCUCAGGGGUUAACUGCUAGAGAUCCUGAGAGCACACAUUUGAUCUGCUUUGUAAAUACACGAUUUGGUUGCCUGAAAUAAUUUAGUCAGAGGUCAACCCUGGAUACCAUUAAAGUUGUUCUCCUUUUU
rnacentral:lncRNA from 1 species